UACGUAGGGUGCGAGCGUUGUCCGGAAUUAUUGGGCGUAAAGAGCUUGUAGGCGGUUUGUCGCGUCUGCUGUGAAAAUCCGGGCUCAACCCCGGACUUGCAGUGGGUACGGGCAGACUAGAGUGUGGUAGGGGAGACUGGAAUUCCUGGUGUAGCGGUGAAAUGCGCAGAUAUCAGGAGGAACACCGAUGGCGAAGGCAGGUCUCUGGGCCACUACUGACGCUGAGAAGCGAAAGCGUGGGGAGCGAACAGG
rnacentral:rRNA from 1 species